GGGGUUUUUGAGUUAUAAGCCAAAAACUGCAUUUUACCCCUAUGUUCUAUUUUUAGCCAUGGCGGCCAUCUUGGUUGGUUGGCCGGGUCACCGAACACAUUUUUUAAACUAGAUACCCUAAUGAUGAUUGUGACCAACUUUGGUUAAAUUUGGCCCAGUAGUUUCAGAGGAGAAGAUUUUUGUAAAAGUUAACGACGACGGACGACGGACGCCAAGUGAUGAGAAAAGCUUACUUGGCCCUUUG
rnacentral:lncRNA from 1 species